rnacentral:rRNA from 1 species
GAUGAACGCUGGCGGCGUGCCUAAUACAUGCAAGUCGAGCGAACAGACGAGGAGCUUGCUCCUCUGACGUUAGCGGCGGACGGGUGAGUAACACGUGGAUAACCUACCUAUAAGACUGGGAUAACUUCGGGAAACCGGAGCUAAUACCGGAUAAUAUAUUGAACCGCAUGGUUCAAUAGUGAAAGACGGUUUUGCUGUCACUUAUAGAUGGAUCCGCGCCGCAUUAGCUAGUUGGUAAGGUAACGGCUUACCAAGGCAACGAUGCGUAGCCGACCUGAGAGGGUGAUCGGCCACACUGGAACUGAGGCACGGUCCAGACUCCUACGGGAGGCAGCAGUAGGGAAUCUUCCGCAAUGGGCGAAAGCCUGACGGAGCAACGCCGCGUGAGUGAUGAAGGUCUUCGGAUCGUAAAACGCUGUUAUUAGGGAAGAACAAAUGUGUAAGUAACUAUGCACGUCUUGACGGUACCUAAGCAGAAAGCCACGGCUAACUACGG